rnacentral:rRNA from 1 species
UGAGUACGAGACGCUAAGGCGUCGAAGUAGUGUAUGUCAUACUUCCAAGAAAAGCUUGCACUGUCAUUCAUAAAAAAUGCCUGUACCAUAACCGACACAGGUGGGUAGGUAGAGUAUACUAAGGGGCGCGAGAUAACUCUCUCUAAGGAACUCGGCAAAAUAACUCCGUAACUUCGGGAGAAGGAGUGCCUUAUUUAUAUAAGGUUGCAAUAACAAGAUCCAAGCAACUGUUUACCAAAAACACAGGUCUCCGCUAAGUCGUAAGACGAUGUAUGGGGGCUGACGCCUGCCCAGUGCCAGAAGGUUAAAGAAGUUGGUUAGCAAUAGCGAAGCUGAUAACUGAAGCCCUGGUGAACGGCGGCCGUAACAAUAACGGUCCUAAGGUAGCGAAAUUCCUUGUCGGGUAAGUUCCGACCCGCACGAAAGGCGUAAUGAUUUGGAUACUGUCUCGGAGAGGGACUCGGUGAAAUAGACUUGUCUGUGAAGAUGCGGACUACCUGCACCUGGACAGAAAGACCCUAUGAAGCUUUACUGUAACUUGAAAUUGAAAUUGGACUUUAUUCGCGCAGUAUAGGUGGGAGGCGUUGAAAAUAAUCUUGCGGGACUAUUGGAGCCAUCAGUGAGAUACCACUCUUAUAAUGUUAGAUUUCUAACUUUGAAUCAUUAUCUGGUCAAAGAACAGUUUCAGGCGGGCAGUUUGACUGGGGCGGUCGCCUCCCAAACGGUAACGGAGGCGUACAAAGGUUUCCUCUGAACGGGUAGAAAUCGUAUCUAGAGUAUAAAGGCAAAAGGAAGCUUGACUGUGAGACCUACAAGUCGAGCAGGGACGAAAGUCGGUCUUAGUGAUCUGACGGUACUGAGUGGAAAGGCCGUCACUCAACGGAUAAAAGUUACUCUAAGGAUAACAGGCUGAUCUCCCCCAAGGGUUCACAUCGACGGGGAGGUUUGGCACCUCGAUGUCGGCUCAUCGCAUCCUGGGGCGGUAGUACGUCCCAAGGGUUGGGCUGUUCGCCCAUGAAAGCGGUACGCGAGCUGGGUUCAGAACGUCGUGAGACAGUUCGGUCCAUAUCCGGUGUAGGCGUUAGAAUAUUGAGAGGAGCCUUCUUUAGUACGAGAGGACCGAGAAGGACAUACCUCUGGUGUACCAGUUAUCGUGCCAACGGUAAACGCUGGGUAGCUAUGUAUGGAGUGGAUAACCGCUGAAAGCAUCUAAGUGGGAAGCCCACCUCAAGAUGAGUAUUCUCAU